AACGAACGCUGGCGGCAUGCCUAACACAUGCAAGUCGAACGAGACCUUCGGGUCUAGUGGCGCACGGGUGUGUAACGCGUGGGAAUCUGCCCUUGGGUUCGGAAUAACAGUUAGAAAUGACUGCUAAUACCGGAUAAUGUCUUCGGACCAAAGAUUUAUCGCCCAGGGAUGAGCCCGCGUAGGAUUAGCUAGUUGGUGAGGUAAAGGCUCACCAAGGCGACGAUCCUUAGCUGGUCUGAGAGGAUGAUCAGCCACUCUGGGACUGAGACACGGCCCAGACUCCUACGGGAGGCAGCAGUGGGGAAUAUUGGACAAUGGGCGAAAGCCUGAUCCAGCAAUGCCGCGUGAGUGAUGAAGGCCUUAGGGUUGUAAAGGCUCUUUUACCCGGGAUGAUAAUGACAGUACCGGGAGAAUAAGCCCCGGCUAACUCCGUGCCAGCAGCCGCGGUAAU
rnacentral:rRNA from 1 species